rnacentral:rRNA from 1 species
UGGGGAAUUUUGCGCAAUGGGGGAAACCCUGACGCAGCAGCGCCGCGUGAGUGAUGAAGGCCUUCGGGUCGUAAAGCUCUGUCAGAGGGGAAGAAAUGCAGGGGUGCUAAUAUCAUCUUUGCUUGACGGUACCCUCAAAGGAAGCACCGGCUAACUCCGUGCCAGCAGCCGCGGUAAUACGGAGGGUGCGAGCGUUGUUCGGAAUUAUUGGGCGUAAAGCGCGUGUAGGCGGUUUGAUAAGUCUGAUGUGAAAGCCCCGGGCUCAACCUGGGAAGUGCAUUGGAAACUGUCAGACUUGAAUACGGGAGAGGGUAGUGGAAUUCCUGGUGUAGGAGUGAAAUCCGUAGAUAUUAGGAGGAACACCGGUGGCGAAGGCGGCUACCUGGACCGAUAUUGACGCUGAGACGCGAAAGCGUGGGGAGCAAACAG